rnacentral:rRNA from 1 species
GUAGGGAAUAUUGGACAAUGGGGGCAACCCUGAUCCAGCCAUGCCGCGUGAGUGAAGAAGGCCCUCGGGUUGUAAAGCUCUUUUGUCCGGAAAGAAAAGCAUUCGGUGAAUACCCGGAUGUUCUGACGGUACCGGAAGAAUAAGCACCGGCUAACUUCGUGCCAGCAGCCGCGGUAAUACGAAGGGUGCAAGCGUUACUCGGAAUUACUGGGCGUAAAGCGUGCGUAGGUGGUUGUUUAAGUCUGAUGUGAAAGCCCUGGGCUCAACCUGGGAAUGGCAUUGGAAACUGGGCAGCUAGAGUGCGGUAGAGGGUAGUGGAAUUCCCGGUGUAGCAGUGAAAUGCGUAGAGAUCGGGAGGAACAUCUGUGGCGAAGGCGACUGCCUGGACCAGCACUGACACUGAGGCACGAAAGCCUGGGGAGCAAACA